rnacentral:rRNA from 1 species
AAACUAACAAGGAUUCCCCUAGUAACGGCGAGUGAAGCGGGAAGAGCUCAAAUUUGAAAUCUGGCAGUCUUCGAUUGUCCGAGUUGUAAUCUAUAGAGGCGUUUUCCGUGCCGGACCGUGUCCAAGUCUCCUGGAAAGGAGUAUCAAAGAGGGUGAUAAUCCCGUACUUAACACGACCACCGGUGCUCUGUGAUACGUCUUCUACGAGUCGAGUUGUUUGGGAAUGCAGCUCAAAAUGGGUGGUGAAUUCCAUCUAAAGCUAAAUAUUGGCGAGAGACCGAUAGCGAACAAGUACCGUGAGGGAAAGAUGAAAAGCACUUUGGAAAGAGAGUUAAACAGUACGUGAAAUUGUUGAAAGGGAAACGAUUGAAGUCAGUCGUGUUCUUUGGAUUCAGCCAGUUCUGCUGGUCUACUUCCUUUGAACGGGUCAACAUCAGUUUUGUCCGGUGGAUAAAGGUAGUAGGAAUGUGACUUCUCCGGAAGUGUUAUAGCCUAUUAUCACAUACACUGGGUGAGACUGAGGACUGCAGCUCGCCUUUAUGGCCGACCUUCGGGUACGUUCGAGCUUAGGAUGUUGACAUAAUGGCUUUAAACGAC